GACAGAGGUGCCGAGCGUUAGGCGGAAUCACUGGGCUUAAAGCGUGUGUAGGCGGAUCUGUAAGUACCUUGUGAAAUCCCACGGCUCAACCGUGGAACUGCUUGGUAUACUGCGGGUCUUGAGCCACCUAGGGGCAAGUGGAACAAACGGUGGAGCGGUGAAAUGCGUAGAUAUCGUUUGGAACGCCAAUGGUGAAAACAACUUGCUGGGGGUGUGCUGACGCUGAGACACGAAAGCCAGGGGAGCGAAACGGG
rnacentral:rRNA from 1 species